GCCUUCAUGGUGUAAUUGGAAGCGUACUCGACUCGUAUUUUGAGAGGUCCGAGUUCGAGUCCUGGUGAAGGCA
rnacentral:tRNA from 1 species